AAAAGAUUACCUGAAGUGUAUUAAUUAUGAUAGAGAAUAUUUUCGAUUGAUUUGAACUACUUUUGAACGAAUUGAUUGUAACGACUUUUUUACGCAAAUUUUACCCGAAAAUCUCAAAAUUUUACCUGAUUUUUACCUGAGUUUCACAGUUAGGGGGUUACCUCCCGGUCGCUACGUUCGUGUACACCAACUACAGUAUAUUGCAUAUCACAUAUGGCGAAGAUGAGCAGUCAGCAGUGUUUCCGCUGUGAAGAAAAU